GACGAACGCUGGCGGCGUGCCUAAUACAUGCAAGUAGAACGCUGAAGGAGGAGCUUGCUUCUCCGGAUGAGUUGCGAACGGGUGAGUAACGCGUAGGUAACCUGCCUGGUAGCGGGGGAUAACUAUUGGAAACGAUAGCUAAUACCGCAUAAGAGUAGAUGUUGCAUGACAUUUGCUUGAAAGGUGCAAUUGCAUCACUACCAGAUGGACCUGCGUUGUAUUAGCUAGUUGGUGGGGUAACGGCUCACCAAGGCGACGAUACAUAGCCGACCUGAGAGGGUGAUCGGCCACACUGGGACUGAGACACGGCCCAGACUCCUACGGGAGGCAGCAGUAGGGAAUCUUCGGCAAUGGACGGAAGUCUGACCGAGCAACGCCGCGUGAGUGAAGAAGGUUUUCGGAUCGUAAAGCUCUGUUGUAAGAGAAGAACGAGUGUGAGAGUGGAAAGUUCACACUGUGACGGUAUCUUACCAGAAAGGGACGGCUAACUACGUGC
rnacentral:rRNA from 1 species